rnacentral:rRNA from 1 species
ACACGUAGGGGGCGAGCGUUGUUCGGAAUCAUUGGGCGUAAAGGGCGUGCAGGCGGUCCUGCAAGUCCGGCGUGAAAGACCCCGGCCCAACCGGGGGGACGCGCUGGAAACUGCGGGGCUUGAGUACAGGAGGGGAUGCCGGAAUUCCAGGUGUAGGGGUGAAAUCUGUAGAUAGCUGGAAGAACACCAAUGGCGAAGGCAGGCAUCUGGCCAUGUACUGACGCUGAGACGCGAAGGUGCGGGGAGCAAACAGGUUUAGAUACCCUGGUAGUCCGCACAGUAAACGAUGUGCACCAGGUGGCGGGGGGUCGACCCUCGGUACCGUAGCUAACGCAUUAAGUGCACCGCCUGGGGAGUAUGCUCGCAAGGGUGAAACUCAAAUGAAUUGACGGGG